rnacentral:rRNA from 1 species
UUUCCCGGGGUUUGAUCCUGCCGGACCCUACUGCUAUCGGGAUGGGACUAAGACAUGCUAGUCGUGCGCCUCCUAGCUAUGGUGGAGGCGCGGCACACAGCUCAGUAACACGUGGCUAACCUGCCCUUGGGACGGAAACAUCCCCGGGAAACUGGGGCCAAUGUCCGAUAGGCGAAGAUCUCUGGAACGAGUCUUCACCCAAAAGACGUUUGGGGCAUGCUUCUAGACGUUGCCCAAGGAUGGGGCCGCGGCCGAUCAGGUUGUUGGUGAGGUAACGGCUCACCAAGCCUAUUACCGGUACGGGCCGUGGGAGCGGUAGCCCGGAGAUGGGCACUGAGACAAGGGCCCAGGCCCUACGGGGCGCAGCAGUCGCGAAAACUUCGCAAUAAGCGAAAGCUUGACGGGGCUAUCCCGGGUGCCAUCUGCUGAGGAUGGCUUUUACCUAGUAUAGAUAGCUGGGGGAAUAAGGAGAGGGCAAGUCUGGUGUCAGCCGCCGCGGUAAUACCAGCUCUCCGAGUUGUGGGGAUAUUUAUUGGGCCUAAAGCAUCCGUAGCCGGCUGAACAAGUCCCCUGUUAAAUCCAGCGACGAAUCGUUGGUCUGCGGGGGAUACUGCUCGGCUAGGGGGCGGGAGAGGCCGUCGGUAUUCUUGGGGUAGGGGUGAAAUCCUAUAAUCCCAGGAGGACCACCAGUGGCGAAGGCUGUCGGCUAGAACGCGCCCGACGGUGAGGGAUGAAAGCUGGGGGAGCGAACCGGAUUAGAUACCCGGGUAGUCCCAGCUGUAAACGAUGCGGGCUAGGUGUUAGGGCGGCUACGUGCCGCUCUAGUGCCGCAGGGAAGCUGUUAAGCCUGCCGCCUGGGGAGUACGGCCGCAAGGCUGAAACUUAAAGGAAUUGGCGGGGGAGCACCACAAGGGGUGAAGCUUGCGGUUUAAUUGGAGUCAACGCCGGG